AUAACUUAUGUGAACUAUAGAUUAUUUUGAAUUGAGUAUCCAACCUUUCAAAUGUUUGAUUUUAUCGUCUGACAUUUCAAUUUGUUUGAUUUAAUUUAGUCAACGAUAUUUUGACUUUAAACUUUAAAUGCGCGCAAUAUUUAUCUUUACAUAUUUAGUCAGUAUACUUCACAUAAUUUUCAUAACUAUAAAUUUAUUAAAAUAAGUAAUUAGCUUAAAAUUUAAAAUUAAAGUAUCGUUAUAUGGUUCAAAUUAAGUAAAUUAAAAAAUCAGAUAAAAAAUUAAAAUUUUUAAAAAUUAAGUAACUGAAUCAAAAUAAUCCAC
rnacentral:lncRNA from 1 species